rnacentral:rRNA from 1 species
UACGUAGGGGGCUAGCGUUGUCCGGAAUCAUUGGGCGUAAAGAGCGUGUAGGCGGCCGUACAGGUCAGCUGUGAAAACUCGAGGCUCAACCUCGAGACGUCGGUUGAAACCGUACGGCUAGAGUCCGGAAGAGGAGAGUGGAAUUCCCGGUGUAGCGGUGAAAUGCGCAGAUAUCGGAAGAACACCCGUGGCGAAGGCGGCUCUCUGGGACGGUACUGACGCUGAGACGCGAAAGCGUGGGGAGCGAACAGG